CGACGAGUGGCGGACGGGUGAGUAAUACUUAGGAAUCUGCCCAGUAGUGGGGGACAACUCGGGGAAACUCGAGCUAAUACCGCAUACGCCCUAAGGGGGAAAGCGGGGAAUCUUCGGACCUCGCGCUAUUGGAUGAGCCUAAGUCGGAUUAGCUUGUAGGUAGGGUAACGGCCUACCUAGGCGACGAUCCGUAGCUGGUCUGAGAGGACGAUCAGCCACACUGGGACUGAGACACGGCCCAG
rnacentral:rRNA from 1 species